rfam:Gossypium raimondii chromosome 10, whole genome shotgun sequence.
AUUCCGUGAUGAGGGCAGUUCCAUGAUAAUUCUUUUUACGUUUCCCGUGCCUCAUACAAUGACUCAUCAUCCAUUUAUUGGAAAACAGUGAUCUCGUUCCUCAACUU